UGAGGAAUAUUGGGCAAUGGACGCAAGUCUGACCCAGCCAUGCCGCGUGCAGGAUGAAGGCCCUACGGGUUGUAAACUGCUUUUGUGCAUCAAGAAACCCCCGAACGUGUUCGGGGCUGACUAUUGCAAGAAUAAGCAUCGGCUAACUCCGUGCCAGCAGCCGCGGUAACACGGAGGAUGCAAGCGUUAUCCGGAUUUAUUAGGUUUAAAGGGUGUGUAGGCGGGAGAUUAAGUCAGUGGUGAAAUCCUACAGCUUAACUGUAGAAUUGCCAUUGAUACUGGUUUCCUUGAGUGCAGUUGAGGUAGGCGGAAUGUGUAAUGUAGCGGUGAAAUGCUUAGAUAUUACACAGAACACCGAUUGCGAAGGCAGCUUACUAAACUGUAACUGACGCUGAGGCACGAAAGCGUGGGGAGCGAACAGG
rnacentral:rRNA from 1 species